rnacentral:tRNA from 14 species
AAGUUAGUGGCGCAAUGGACAAUGCGUCCGACUUCAGAUCAGAAGAUUCUAGCUUCGACUCCUGGCUAGCUUG